GAUGAACGCUGGCGGCGUGCCUAAUACAUGCAAGUCGAGCGAACAGACGAGGAGCUUGCUCCUCUGACGUAAGCGGCGGACGGGUGAGUAACACGUGGAUAACCUACCUAUAAGACUGGGAUAACUUCGGGAAACCGGAGCUAAUACCGGAUAAUAUAUUGAACCGCAUGGUUCAAUAGUGAAAGACGGUUUUGCUGUCACUUAUAGAUGGAUCCGCGCCGCAUUAGCUAGUUGGUAAGGUAACGGCUUACCAAGGCAACGAUGCGUAGCCGACCUGAGAGCGUGAAAGGCCACCCUAGAACUGAGACACGCUCCAGACUCCUACGGGAGGCAGCAGUAGAGAAUCUUAAGCAAUAGGCGAAAGCCUGACGGAGCAACGCCGCGUGAGUGAUGAAGGUCUUCGGAUCGUAAAACUCUGUUAUUAGGGAAGAACAAAUGUGUAAGUAACUAUGCACGUCUUGACGGUACCUAAUCAGAAAGCCACGGCUAACUACGUG
rnacentral:rRNA from 1 species